UCUGAUACAAGCUUUCGCCUUAAGAUGAGCCCAUGGCCCAUCAGCUAGUUGGUAGGGUAAAGGCCUACCAAGGCUACGACGGGUCGCUGGUCUGAGAGGACGACCAGCCACACUGGCACUGAGAUACGGGCCAGACUCCUACGGGAGGCAGCAGUGAGGAAUAUUGCGCAAUGGGGGAAACCCUGACGCAGCAACGCCGCGUGUGGGAAGAAGGCCUUCGGGUCGUAAACCACUUUUGCACGGGACGAAAAAGGGAUAUCGAACAAAUAUCCCCGAUGACGGUACCGUGAGAAUAAGCCACGGCUAACUCUGUGCCAGCAGCCGCGGUAAGACAGAGGUGGCAAGCGUUGUUCGGAAUUACUGGGCGUAAAGAGUCUGUAGGUGGUUUUGUCAAGUCUUUGGUGAAAGGCCGUAGCUUAACUAUGGGAAUGCCAAAGAGACUGGCAGGCUGGAGGCUGGGAGAGGGAAGCGGAAUUUCUGGUGUAG
rnacentral:rRNA from 1 species